UGGGUGAAGUGGCGAAGGGUGAGUAAUGCAUAGACAACCAACCUUCGACUUCGGGAUAACUGAGGGAAGCUUCAGCUAAAACCGAAUAGGCUCGCUGGGAUUUAUGUUUCGGCGAGUAAAGGGGGCCUCUCAACGAUGCUGUCGGUUGAAGACGGGUCUAUGUCCUAUCAGCUUGAUGGUGAGGUAAUGGCUCACCAUGGCAAUAACGGGUAGCCGACCUGAGAGGGUGACCGGCCACACUGGGACUGAGACACUGCCCAGACUCCUACGGGAGGCUGCAGUCGAGAAUCUUCCGCAAUGGGGGCAACCCUGACGGAGCGACGCCGCGUGCGGGAUGAAGGCCUUCGGGUUGUAAACCGCUGUCACAGGUUAGGAACGGAUCCGGUGUUAAUAGCUCCGGGUUUUGACAAAGGCCUGAGAGGAAGCCACGGCUAACUUCGUGCCAGCAGCCGCGGUAAGACGAAGGUGGCAACCGUUGUUCGGAAUCACUGGGCAUAAAGCGCACGUAGGCGGGACAGCAAGUCGGGUGUGAAAUCCCUCGGCCCAACCGAGGAACUGCGCCCGAAACUGCUGUUCUUGAGGACAGAAGGGGAGCGUGGAAUUCCUGGUGGAGCGGUGAAAUGCGUUGAUAUCAGGAGGAACACCGGCGGCGAAGGCGACGCUCUGGUCUGUUUCUGACGCUAAGGUGCGAAAGCCAGGGGAGCAAACGGGAUUAGAUACCCCGGUAGUCCUGGCCGUAAACGAUGGGUACUAGUAGGCGGGUUUCCAAUGCC
rnacentral:rRNA from 1 species